rnacentral:rRNA from 1 species
AUGGCGCUCGGUGGUCUGUUCGGCACGGCGGCGGUGGCCGUGGUCGUGUCGCUGGCGGUCCACGUCGCGCUCAACUGCCCCAUCCAGCCGAUCCCGUCGACGCGGCCGCCCGCCGCGCGCUACCCGCCUAAUAACCUCCUCCAGGGGCUGGAGAAGCUGGGGGAAGGGCAGCUGAGCGCGCCGGAGGACGUGUACGUGGACGCGGCGGCGGGAGGGACGGUGUACACGGCGACGAGGGACGGGUGGCUGCAGAGGAUGCACCCCAACGGGUCGUGGGAGCAGUGGCGGUUCGUCGGCGGCACGGGCCUGCUCGGGAUCGCGCCCUCCGCCGACGGCAGCGUGCUCGUCUGCGACGCCGACAAGGGAUUACUGAAAGUUGAGGAGGGACGUGUGACCAUUCUCGCCUCGACGGUCGAAGGUUCCACGAUCAGGUUCGCCGACGAGGCGAUCGAGGCAUCGGACGGCACGGUCUACUUCAGCGACGCCAGCACCAGGUUCGGCUUCGACCGGUGGUUCCACGCCUACGUCGAGGCACACCCCACCGGCCGCCUCCUCAAGUACGACCCCCGCACCGGCAAGGCCUCCGUGGCGCUCGACAACCUCGCCUUCGCCAACGGCGUCGCCCUGUCGAAGGACGAGGCCUUCGUCAUCGUCUGCGAGACAGGGAGGUUCAGAUGCACGAGGCUGUGGCUGAAAGGGGACAAGACCGGCCAGGCGGAGACGUUCGUCGACGACCUUCCGGGGGGUCCGGAUAACAUCCAGCUAGCGCCAGACGGCUCCUUCUGGGUCGCCCUUAUCCAGAGGUCGCCGUGGCUGGACCUGGUCAUGCGCUGGACGUUCACCAAGAGGGUCGUCGCCUCGUUCCCGGCGCUGCUCGACGCGGUCCACGCCACGGGGAAAGGGGCGAUGGUGGCGCAGGUGUCGGAGGACGGCGAGGUCCUCCGCGUGCUCGACGACACCCAAGGGAAGGUGAUCAACUUCAUCACCUCAGUGACGGAGCACGACGGUUACCUCUUCUUCGGAAGCCUCGCGACCAACUUCGUGGGCAAGCUAUCUCUGGCCAAGGUGGCACAGGCACAGGGCCAGCCGGCGGUUUCUUCCUAG